AAAGAAGAAGAUUGAGGAUUGGGCAGUCGAGAGGAAAGAACAAAGGAAAAAAAAAUGGGAUUGGGCAAAACUGCCCAAUAUGAAAGAAGAAUGAAGGGAUGAAUCAGGAGAAGAGAGAAGGAGAGGAUGGCCAAUCGGAACAAAGAAAGGAGGAAAAGAGAGAGGGCGAGAAGCGGAGGAGAGAAGGAAGAAAAAUGGGUCUUCACCCGCGACCCGUUUCGACCGGCGACACCCACACCCAAAUUCCGACGAUUUUCACCGGAAUUCUCACAAAUUGGAUCAAGGUACCACUUCCAAUCAACACCUAGGCCUUCCCUCUUCAUGUUUCACCCCAAAAAUCAUGAAAUUUCGUGGUGAUUUUGCGAAGAACACCCACACGGGUGCCGCGACUUUCUUGUUCAAAAUUCGCCCAAUUUCGAAGCAAUUUCUUUCAAUUACUAACACCAUUAGCAUUCCCUUAGGACCUGGAACAAAGCCCAAGCAUUAGUUGGAGCAUCGGAGUGGUUUUGGAGGUCGAAUUGAAAACACCCAUUUCUAGGGUUCCGCACGGAUUUUGGUGAAAUUGGAGCUCUUCCAGGCCAAAUUGGCCUUGGCCUCAGGUAUAAAGUUUACUCUACUCAUUGAGAUCUUCAAUUCUGUAUUUUUUGAGAAUUUUUGGAAAUAGUUGGAUUUUCCGGCGAGCCGGGGCGGCCGACCGCCACCCGCGGCGGCCCGUGGGGCGGCGCGUGGCUAAUGGCCCACCAAUGUCAUUCUUAGCAUGUGUUUAAGGUUCUAGGUUCAGUUUUGAUAGUUGAUGGACGUAAAUUGAGUAAUUGAACCUAAGUUCGUUACGUUUCGUGGUUAGGCCCAAAAGGUGAAUCGAUGAUCCAACCAUCGGAUCGUCACCAAACUUUGAUACGUUGUAAUACGUAAUAUUUGAGGAUUAUAGGAACUUACGGAUCGGGAAUCCGAUUUACAUAUCUUUCAGAAUUGGAGUUGUAAGUUCAUAAAAUAGAAUGUUAACCGUCACUUGGUUAUGGAAAUUGACGGAGAUCCGACCGUUGGAUGGUAAUGAAAUUUUAGGAUGUUGUCCUAGAGGUAUAUUUUGGACCUCUGGAAGUUAUGGAUUUGAAAUCUGAGUUGCAGAUCUUCCGGAUCGAACUAUGUAGUGACGUGUUUUAUAUAAGUUAUAUAUUCUAUCAAUAUGAUUUCUAAGGUUGGAUUUGAUUAUUGUUCUAGGCACCGAUCGUCAUGACGCAUUGAUGUGUGGUGCUAGGGAGUUGUUGGGCGAACUCCAGGUGAGUGGGCAGUAUUUCUGUUUAUACCUAUAUAUUAUUGAUAUUUUUCCCAGAAAUUGAGUUUAAAUGAAAGUACGUUUUAAAAUGCCAUGCAUGCAUAUUAUGAAUUAUAUGAUUUGGUAUAUGAUGCAUAUAUGUGAAAUGGUGCUGUGGACGCACAAGUGAGUAUCAGGUGAGGUUUAUGUUGUUCAUGUGAUUUAUUGAUGAUGUGAAUUAUGUUGAGAGCUCACAACCUGCACCCCCAUUGUUAGUGCUUAUGUUAUUCACCCUGCAUCACACGCUCACCUUGGAUCCAAGUAGAUGCUAGUUGUACAGACCACUAGAGGUGGUUCCCACAUGCCAGUCGUACAGACCAUUAGAGGAGUUCUGACUGGUAAGUGACUUGAGAUUAUGUGCACAGAUGAUUGAUGAGAGAAGCACUAAAGCGUAUUAUUUCACCAUCUUAGUCGUACAGACUACUAUAGGUAGUUCCGACUUAUGUGCAGUGUAGUGCCGUACAGGUCGCAGUUGGUGACUCCGGCAGGGCCGUACAGGUCACAGUUGGUGACUCCGGCUGGAUGGGAUAUUGAGCUAUAGAAUCAGCCGUAUAGGACCACUAUAGGGUCUCCGGUUGAUUUAUUAUUUCACCUGAUUUAUAUUGAUGCAUUCAUAUUAAAUUUUGGUAUAUGGCAUGGCAUGGCAUAUUCUUUCUGAAAAGCGUUGAAGGAUUGUGAUUUGAGCUUUUGAUGAUAUAUAUAUGUUUAUAUACUUUUUUUUUUGGGAAAGUAUACAGGUUUUACGGCGAGGGGUUAGAAAUGUUUUAAAUGAAAUGUUUUCGAAAAACUUUGUUUUACUGACCCACUCAAUUUUGUUUUGUGCCCCUCCAGGUUCUAGAUAGCAGAGUUUUGGUGGCCACGAGGAAUCCAACGGUGUUCUGACAGAAUUCACAAAAGUAGGACUCACCCUCGGGUGUUUCAUCUUAAUAAUUGUAUUUUUAAAGCUUCCGAACUGUGUAAAUGGUUACGUCACUCUCACGUGACGGCCAUCAUGCCCUCCUUCGGGACGGG
rnacentral:lncRNA from 1 species